rnacentral:rRNA from 1 species
UACAGAGGGUGCAAGCGUUAAUCGGAAUUACUGGGCGUAAAGCGUGCGUAGACGGUUAUGUAAGUUAGGUGUGAAAGCCCCGGGCUCAACCUGGGAAUUGCAUUUAAGACUGCAUAGCUAGGGUGCGGAAGAGGGAAGCGGAAUUUCCGGUGUAGCGGUGAAAUGCGUAGAUAUCGGAAGGAACACCAGUGGCGAAAGCGGCUUCCUGGUCCAGCACCGACGUCAGGCACGAAAGCGUGGGGAGCAAACAGG